rnacentral:rRNA from 1 species
AGAGUUUGAUCAUGGCUCAGGACGAACGCUGGCGGCGUGCCUAAUACAUGCAAGUCGAGCGGAGCGGAGGAAGCUUGCUUCCAAAGUUCAGCGGCGGACGGGUGAGUAACACGUGGGUAACCUGCCUGGCAGACUGGGAUAACGCUUGGAAACGAGUGCUAAUACCGGAUAGUCUUCUGAACCGCAUGGUUCGGAAGGGAAAGAGGCUUUCGCCUCACUGUCAGAUGGACCCGCGGCGCAUUAGCUAGUUGGUGAGGUAACGGCUCACCAAGGCGACGAUGCGUAGCCGACCUGAGAGGGUGACCGGCCACACUGGGACUGAGACACGGCCCAGACUCCUACGGGAGGCAGCAGUAGGGAAUCUUCCACAAUGGGCGAAAGCCUGAUGGAGCAACGCCGCGUGAGUGAUGAAGGCCUUUGGGUUGUAAAACUCUGUCUUCUGUGACGAACAAGCCUGUGAGUAAAAUGCUCAGGCCCUGACGGUAACAGAGGAGGAAGCCACGGCUAACUACGUGCCAGCAGCCGCGGUAAUACGUAGGUGGCAAGCGUUGUCCGGAAUCACUGGGCGUAAAGCGCGCGCAGGCGGCGAUCUACGUCUGGGGUGAAAGCCCGGAGCUCAACUCCGGGACUGCCUUGGAUACGGGAUCGCUUGAGAAUUGGAGAGGCAAGGGGAAUUCCACGUGUAGCGGUGAAAUGCGUAGAGAUGUGGAGGAACACCUGUGGCGAAGGCGCCUUGCUGGCCAAUUUCUGACGCUGAGGCGCGAAAGCGUGGGGAGCAAACAGGAUUAGAUACCCUAGUAGUCC